AACGAACGCUGGCGGCGUGCCUAACACAUGCAAGUCGAGCGAGAAAGCCCGCAAGGGUGAGUAAGGCGGCGCACGGGUGCGUAACACGUGGGUAAUCUGCCCUAGAGUCUGGAAUAACUCGCCGAAAGGCGUGCUAAUGCCGGAUGAGACCAUGGGAGCCUCGGCUCCUGCGGGAAAAGGUGGCCUCUGUAUACAAGCUAUCGCUCUAGGCUGAGCCCGGGGCCCAUCAGCUAGUUGGCGGGGUAAUGGCCCACCAAGGCAACGACGGGUAGCUGGUCUGAGAGGACGAUCAGCCACACUGGAACUGAGACACGGUCCAGACUCCUACGGGAGGCAGCAGUGGGGAAUCUUGCGCAAUGGGCGAAAGCCUGACGCAGCAACGCCGCGUGUGUGAUGAAGGUCUUCGGAUCGUAAAGCACUGUCGCGAGGGACGAAUAAGGGUCGGGUGAACAAUCCGGUCCGAUGACGGUACCUCGAGAGGAAGCACCGGCUAACUCUGUGCCAGCAGCCGCCGUAAGAC
rnacentral:rRNA from 1 species